GACGAACCGUCCAAACGUUAUUCGGAAUUACUGGGCUUAAAGGGUGCGUAGGCGGCGCGGAAAGUUGGGUGUGAAAUCCCUCGGCUCAACCGAGGAACUGCGCCCAAUACUACCGUGCUUGAGGGAGAUAGAGGUGAGCGGAACUUAGGGUGGAGCGGUGAAAUGCGUUGAUAUCCUAAGGAACACCGGUGGCGAAAGCGGCUCACUGGAUCUCUUCUGACGCUGAGGCACGAAAAGCUAGGGUAGCGAACGGG
rnacentral:rRNA from 1 species